rnacentral:rRNA from 1 species
UCCUACGGGAGGCAGCAGUAGGGAAUCUUCCGCAAUGGGCGAAAGCCUGACGGAGCAAUGCCGCGUGAGUGAUGAAGGUUUUCGGAUCGUAAAGCUCUGUUGCCAGGGAAGAACGCUUGGGAGAGUAACUGCUCUCAAGGUGACGGUACCUGAGAAGAAAGCCCCGGCUAACUACGUGCCAGCAGCCGCGGUAAUACGUAGGGGGCAAGCGUUGUCCGGAAUUAUUGGGCGUAAAGCGCGCGCAGGCGGUCAUUUAAGUCUGGUGUUUAAUCCCGGGGCUCAACCCCGGAUCGCACUGGAAACUGGGUGACUUGAGUGCAGAAGAGGAGAGUGGAAUUCCACGUGUAGCGGUGAAAUGCGUAGAUAUGUGGAGGAACACCAGUGGCGAAGGCGACUCUCUGGGCUGUAACUGACGCUGAGGCGCGAAAGCGUGGGGAGCAAACAGGAUUAGAUACCCUGGUAGUCCACGCCGUAAACGAUGAGUGCUAGGUGUUAGGGGUUUCGAUACCCUUGGUGCCGAAGUUAACACAUUAAGCACUCCGCCUGGGGAGUACGGUCGCAAGACUGAAACUCAAAGUA